GUGGCUCGAGGACGAACGCGUGGCGGCGUGCUUAACACAUGCAAGUCGAACGGGAGUAUUGAAGAAGCUUGCUUUAGAGAUACUUAGUGGCGGACGGGUGAGUAACGCGUGAGGAGCUGUCCUAUGCAGGGGGACAACAGCUGGAAACGGCUGCUAAUACCCCAUAAGCCGAGAGGUAAAAGGAUCAAUCCGGCAGAGGAGGUACUCGCGUCCUAUCAGCUAGUAGGUGAGGUAACGGCUCACCUAGGCGAAGACGGGUAGCCGGCCUGAGAGGGCGAACGGCCACACUGGAACUGAGAUACGGUCCAGACUCCUACGGGAGGCAGCAGUGGGGAAUAUUGGGCAAUGGGGGAAACCCUGACCCAGCGACGCCGCGUGGGUGAAGAAAUCCUUCGGGAUGUAAAGCCCUGUUGUAUGGGAAGAGCGGAAGACGGUACCAUACGAGGAAGCCCCGGCAAACUACGUGCCAGCAGCGGC
rnacentral:rRNA from 1 species